rnacentral:rRNA from 1 species
AACGAACGCUGGCGGCAUGCCUAACACAUGCAAGUCGAACGAGACCUUCGGGUCUAGUGGCGCACGGGUGCGUAACGCGUGGGAACCUGCCCUUAGGUUCGGAAUAACUCCCCGAAAGGGGUGCUAAUACCGGAUAAUGUCUUCGGACCAAAGAUUUAUCGCCUUUGGAUGGGCCCGCGUUGGAUUAGCUAGUUGGUAGGGUAAAAGCCUACCAAGGCGACGAUCCAUAGCUGGUCUGAGAGGAUGAUCAGCCACACUGGGACUGAGACACGGCCCAGACUCCUACGGGAGGCAGCAGUGGGGAAUAUUGGACAAUGGACGAAAGCCUGAUCCAGCAGUGCCGCGUGAGUGAUGAAGGCCUUAGGGUUGUAAAGCUCUUUUACCCGAGAUGAUAAUGACAGUACCGGGAGAAUAAGCUCCGGCUAACUCCGUG